GUGAGGAAUAUUGCGCAAUGGAGGCAACUCUGACGCAGCCAUGCCGCGUGCAGGAAGAAGGCGCUACGCGUUGUAAACUGCUUUUAACCGGGAAGAAACCCCAGGACGUGUCCUGGGUUGACGGUACCGGAGGAAUAAGCACCGGCUAACUUCGUGCCAGCAGCCGAGGUAAUACGAAGGGUGCAAGCGUUAUCCGGAUUCAUUGGGUUUAAAGGGUGCGUAGGCGGAGCGUUAAGUCAGUGGUGAAAUCCUGCAGCUUAACUGUAGACUUGCCAUUGAUACUGGCGCUCUUGAGUGCGCUUGAAGUGGGCGGAAUGUGCCGUGUAGCGGUGAAAUGCUUAGAUAUGGCACAGAACACCAAUUGCGAAGGCAGCUCACUAAGGCGAUACUGACGCUGAGGCACGAAAGCGUGGGGAUCGAACAGGAUUAGAAACCCUGGUAGUCC
rnacentral:rRNA from 1 species